CACGUAGGCACCAAGCGUUGUCCGGAUUUAUUGGGCGUAAAGAGCUCGUAGGCGGUUCGGUAAGUUCGGGUGUGAAACUUUCGGGCUUAAACCCAAAGGCGUGCAUUCCGGAUACUGCUGUGACUUGAGUUCGGUAGGGGGAGUGGGGAAUUCCUAGUGUAGCGGUGAAAUGCGCAGAUAUUAGGAGGAACACCGGUGGCGAAGGCGCCACUCUGGGCCGAAACUGACGCUGAGGAGCGAAAGCGUGGGUAGCAAACGAGG
rnacentral:rRNA from 1 species